UCCUCCGUGGCGCAAUUGGCUAGCGCGUCUGACUGUUACUGCAUCAAACCAGAAGCAAUCAGGAGGUUGACAGUUCAAGCCUGUCCGGGGGAG